AUUGAACGCUGACGGCAGGCCUAACACAUGCAAGUCGAGCGGAGCGGCGGACGGGUGAGUAAUACCUAGGAAUCUGCCUGGUAGUGGGGGAUAACGUUCGGAAACGGCCGCUAAUACCGCAUACUAUCAGAUGAGCCUAGGUCGGAUUAGCUAGUUGGUGAGGUAAUGGCUCACCAAGGCUACGAUCCGUAACUGGUCUGAGAGGAUGAUCAGUCACACGGGAACUGAGAAACAGUCCAGACUCCUACGGGAGGCAGCAGUGGGGAAUAUUGGACAGUGGGCGAAAGCCUGAUGCAGCCAUGCCGCGUGUGUGAAGAAGUUCUUCGGAUUGUAAAGCACUUUAAGUUGGGAGGCGGUACCUACAGAAUAAGCACCGGCUAACUCUGUGCCAGCAGCCGCGGUAAGUC
rnacentral:rRNA from 1 species